UGGCUCAGACGGUAAAGCGUCUGUCUGCAAUGCAGGAGACCCAGGUUCAAUCCCUGG
rfam:TPA: Bos taurus chromosome 8, whole genome shotgun sequence.